rnacentral:tRNA from 1 species
GCAUUGGUGGUUCAGUGGUAGAAUUCUCACUUUCCAUGUGGGAAACCUGGGUUUGAUUCCCGGCCAGUGCA